AAACACUCCACCAUCAAUAAAUAACGAUUUUUAAGCCAUAAAAUAAACAUUGGAAAUUUAGCUUCCCCCUUUUCUACUACUUUGUGAUGGGAUAUCGAGUUUCCCAACCACUCGAGUGAAGUCUCGAUAACAUCUGUAAAUUUCAGCUUUCUAGGUCAUAGGGAAGUCAAAUUCUGGCCAACAAUACGCGUACUUACAUACAUUACAACGGUCCGUAAGCGUUUCAUAUAUACUAUAGACAUUACUGUCGAUAACACAGUACUAUUGCCAAUAUUUUUCAAUUAUUUAUAAGAAUGUUUCAUGGACAAAGACGCGAGUUGAAUAGAUUCAUUUGGUAAAAUAGAGAAAUGAAGAAGGUGAAACUUUGUUCACCCACUUCUCGCCACCUGUUGUUAAUAACUCGUAUUACGUAUCGAACUGUUUAAUAGAUUUUUACGAAACAGCGCGAAACCAUCUCCACCAUUCGACCAAUCUAUUCUUCGUAUCUUGGAUUCUGUUAAAAUCUGGACGUUUUCCCUAAUAACUUUUUAACUGUCUGGAUUUUUAUCGAAAUUCAAUAAGAGUUAGGCCUUAGGAUGGAAAUACAGUUAACUAACUAUAUAGCUUAAACCAUUUAAAAAUGAUGGAAAUUCCGAGUUCUAGGGUUUUUGCCUAAUACAGUAACCCUUGGAUAAAUCUUACAACUCCGAUGGUAGAUAUCACUCUCCGCCUACAGAUAUUAUCAAUACUUUAACGAAAGAUGUCGAGGGACUGAAACUAAGCGGACUAUGUAAAAACCAGGCUAAACCUCUGGAAAAAAUUUCUUCCACUUCAUAGAUUAUCGAUUCUAAUAUAGCUGUAAAUAAUUUUCUGAAUAAAUAUAGCUGAAAAUAAAAUUCUGAAUAAAUAUACCAGCGCCUUUGACCAUCGUGUUAAUAAAAUUACAGAACAAAAUGCUGUAUUGUAAUUCGAGACCAUCUUACAGCAUUAAAUUUCGUUCGGAUUUUGUCCAAUGGCCGAUUAGUUCCACCAACCAUAAAGAAAGUGGCCAUUUACUAGUCAAAACAGAUAAACGCAUUACAAAAAUUCGGAAGAAAACAUACGCCUGUUACUAAUAUUAUUAUUAAUAUUAGUGAAAAUGAUCAUGGGAAUACAGAGAAUAAAUCUAGUAGUGGCUAUUCAGCCAUAAAAUGCGCGGUGGUAGAACCAACUAUAAUAAUUCAGGUAGUUGUGGUAGGAAAUUCGGGUUAUGUAUCGAUAACGGGAAAAACUAUGAUACUGGUGAUACCGAAACUAUCUGUUCUACCAGCCAGAAUCGGAAGAUAGUAGUAGAAGUAUCCAAUUGGCUUUCUUUCGCAUCGUUAUUUUCUGUCAAAAUCGCGUCAGGCUUAAGGCAGAAAGUAUAGUUAAGCCAGAAUCCGAUUAUCCGGGACCCGUCCGCGCUAUCCUACGCGCAGAAAAUUUUAAUAACGAAAAGUGCCUGGCCAAUGGGUUAUUAGCCGCUCCCAUAUAAAAUAUUUAAGGCUAAUAGCCGACCGAUUAAGAAAUCGACCAAUAAGGACACCGGUGUGAAAGAACGUAAUUAUUGCGCAAGCAAAACUUAGUUUCCAAAAAAUUUUUAUACUGUAUCUAGAAUGCCGAAGAAUCUUUAGAGGAAUAUUUUUCCUCGGAAAAUCUUCUAGGUUUAAGAACCAGAUAAUGAGAUCUAUUUUUCCUGGCUAAUUUUCUUCUGUUCGGUUAGAAAAACAUCAAAAUAUAUAUAGUUUUGAUUUUUUUCUUUUGCGGCCGUUUGGAUUUGUCCAGACACACAAUUUUCAGAUGUCUGUUGCUAGCUUAUCUUUAAAGCUGUGUGCGAAAAAUUAUGAUUUUUGCACAAAAAAUUAAUCAUCCAGAG
rnacentral:lncRNA from 1 species